rnacentral:rRNA from 1 species
ACGCUCGACACCUACGGGAGGCAGCAGUGAGGAAUAUUGGUCAAUGGACGCAAGUCUGAACCAGCCAUGCCGCGUGCAGGAUGACGGCUCUAUGAGUUGUAAACUGCUUUUGUACGAGGGUAAACGCAGAUACGUGUAUCUGUCUGAAAGUAUCGUACGAAUAAGGAUCGGCUAACUCCGUGCCGGCAGCCGAGGUAAUCUGAGCGGGCUGCAAGGC